AUGUCCAUGCUGUCCCUAGCUCAUUUCCUCAGCCUUCUUCUCAUUUGUAUCUCUGAUUCUAGGGCAGAAACAACUGUGACCCAGUCUCUAGCAUCCCUGUCCAUAGCUGCAGGAGAAAAAGUCACUAUCAGUUGUAUAACCAAGACAGAUAUUGAUGAUGAUCUGAACUGGUACCAGCAAGAGCCAGGGGAAGCUCCUAAGCUCCUUAUUUCAGAAGGUAAUACUCUUUGUCUUGGAGUCCCUUCCCAGUUCUCCAGCAGUGACUAUGGUACAUAUUUUGUUUUUAAAAUUGAUAACAUGCUCUCAGAACAUACUUCAACUUACUUCUGUCAGCAAAGUUAUUACAGUCUUCUCACAGUGCUUAUUGCUCUUACAGAAACCUGCAGAUGCUAUUGGUGA